GCAAACUUGGUCAUUUAGAGGAAGUAAAAGUCGUAACAAGGUUUCCGUAGGUGAACCUGCGGAAGGAUCAUUACUGAGUUUUGGGUUGCCCUUGCGGUGCCCGAUCUCCCACCCUUUGUUAAUAUUACUUUGGUUGCUUUGGCAGGCCUGUCUUCCUCCUUCUUGGGGGGGACUGCUGGAGAGAUCUCCUCUCUCUUGCUCGUUUGCUUGCCAAUAGCCUCUUCCAAAUUCUUUUUUAUAAUCAUGUCGUCUGAAUCUUUAAAUGAAAUUACAUUUAAAACUUUCAACAACGGAUCUCUUGGUUCUGGCAUCGAUGAAGAACGCAGC
rnacentral:misc_RNA from 1 species